CUUUCGGCAAUGGUGCGUGCGUUGGCUCGGAGCGCGCGGCGUGGAGAGCGCUCCGCAAUUAAUCGCGAAUUUCACCCGUUGUAAGGAUGCACCUGAACGCGAGGUUCGGUCGGGAAUGUUGGCCGGAGCAACCGGCCAUCGCCGGAACGUGUAUCGGUGUUAACGCGGGGUCCUCGUGAUCGGCGUCGUUUCGUCGGUCGCUCGACGCUGCGUCGUAAUCAACGUACAAGUUUCGGAGCGCGCGGCGUGAGAUCGCUCGUCGCAAUUGAUCGCGAAUUUCACCCGUUAGGGAUGCACCUGAACGCGAAGUUCUGUCGGGAGUGUCGGGAGUGUUGGCCGGAGCAACUGGCCAUCGCCGGAAUGUGUAUCGGUGUUAACGCGGGGCCCUCGUGAUCAGCGUCGUUUCGUCGGUCGCUCGACGCUGCGUCAUAAUCAACGUACAGUCUCGGAGCGCGGGGCGCGAGAUCGCUCGUCGCAAUUGAUCGCGAAUUUCACCUUGAAUGCGAAGUUCUAUCGGGAAUGUUGACCGGAGUAACGAGCCAACGCGCCGGAACGUAUCGGUUAACGCGUUAUUUCGUUGAUCUGCUGUGCCGUGCAUCGUAAUCAACGUACAGUUCCAAUUCCGACGACGUAGGCGUACAAAAAUCAUCCUUACGUUCUUUCGCGAGGGAUAACUGUUUCUUCGAUGGAGCCGAUGCGGAUCAUUUGAGGCGGAAUUUGCAACGGGUGGAGUAACUGCAAUAUCACAGGUGACAAGGCGGUGCAGAGGAUUUUCCUUGCCUUUUCAUGAGAUGUGAGUCUCGGUCUGGUAAUUCGAUCAUUCGUAUUCCCUGGCCAACCCCGGGUCUUCUCGACAUCGGGCGAUUGCGAUUUCGUAACAGUUGCGACAACGAUUCACCACGAUGUUGUACGGCCAGAAGAGAUUUCAGUGAAACCUAUUUUUGCCGGGAGGAGCGAGAAGAGUUUGAUAAGCGACUUAUAUAACGCACUACUAUCGCAAUCGCUGACAUUGAUUCGGCGAGAGAGCCAAUCGUACGAUUAAUUUUUGUCAUUAAAUAUAAAUCUUAACGUAUUUCAUCUAU